GGGGUCAUAGCUCAGCUGGGAGAGCGCCUGCCUUGCACGCAGGAGGUCGUCGGUUCGAUCCCGACUGGCUCCA
rnacentral:tRNA from 2 species